CACGGAUCCAGAGUUUGAUCCUGGCUCAGGAUGAACGCUGGCGGCGUGCCUAACACAUGCAAGUCGAGCGAUGAAAUUCAAAGGAUUUCUUCGGAAUGAAAGUGAAUGGAUUAGCGGCGGACGGGUGAGUAACGCGUGGGCAACCUGCCUUAUACCGGAGGAUAGCUCCUGGAAACGGGUGGUAAUACUCUAUAAGCUUACGACAGGACAUCCUGAUGUAAGAAAAGUGAUUAGCGGUAUAAGAGGGGCCCGCGUCUGAUUAGAUAGUUGGUGGGGUAACGGCCUACCAAGUCGACGAUCAGUAGCCGACCUGAGAGGGUGAUCGGCCACAUUGGAACUGAGACACGGUCCAGACUCCUACGGGAGGCAGCAGUGGGGAAUAUUGCACAAUGGGGGAAACCCUGAUGCAGCAACGCCGCGUGAAGGAAGAAGUAUUUCGGUAUGUAAACUUCUAUCAGCAGGGAAGAAUAAAAUGACGGUACCUGACUAAGAAGAACCGGCUAAAUACGUGCCAGCAGCCGCGGUAACACGUAUGGUUCAAGCGUUAUCCGGAUUUACUGGGUGUAAAGGGUGAGUAGGCGGUUAUGCAAGUCACAUGUGAAAUGUCGGGGCUCAACUCCGGCCUGCAUGAGAAACUGUAUAACUAGAGUGCAGGAGAGGCAAGCGGAAUUCCUAGUGUAGCGGUGAAAUGCGUAGAUAUUAGGAAGAACACCGGUGGCGAAGGCGGCUUGCUGGACUGUAACUGACGCUGAGUCACGAAAGCGUGGGGAGCAAACAGGAUUAGAUACCCUGGUAGUCCACGCCGUAAACGAUGAGUGCUAGGUGUUGGCGAGGAAUCGUCGGUGCCGCAGCAAACGCAAUAAGCACUCCACCUGGGGAGUACGACCGCAAGGUUGAAACUCAAAGGAAUUGACGGGGACCCGCACAAGCGGUGGAGCAUGUGGUUUAAUUCGAAGCAACGCGAAGAACCUUACCUAAACUUGACAUCCCGAUGACCAUCUAUGUAAUGUAGACUUUCUUCGGAACAUCGGUGACAGGUGGUGCAUGGUUGUCGUCAGCUCGUGUCGUGAGAUGUUGGGUUAAGUCCCGCAACGAGCGCAACCCUUAUCGUUAGUAGCCAGUAUUAAGUUAGGCACUCUAGCGAGACUGCCGUGGAUAACACGGAGGAAGGUGGGGAUGACGUCAAAUCAUCAUGCCCCUUAUGUUUAGGGCUACACACGUGCUACAAUGGCUGUCACAAAGUGAAGCGACCCUGUGAAGGCAAGCAAAUCACAAAAAGGCAGUCCCAGUUCGGAUUGUAGUCUGCAACUCGACUACAUGAAGUUGGAAUCGCUAGUAAUCGCGAGUCAGAAUGACGCGGUGAAUACGUUCCCGGGUCUUGUACACACCGCCCGUCACACCAUGGGAGUUGGAAGCACCCGAAGCCUGUGACCCAACCGCAAGGAGGGAGCAGUCGAAGGUGAAGCCAGUGACUGGGGUGAAGUCGUAACAAGGUAACCGUAAGCUUCAC
rnacentral:rRNA from 1 species